CACAUGCAAGUCGAGCGGAACGAUCCUAGCUUGCUAGGAGGCGUCGAGCGGCGGACGGGUGAGUAAUGCAUAGGAAUCUGCCCGGUAGUGGGGGAUAACCUGGGGAAACCCAGGCUAAUACCGCAUACGCCCUACGGGGGAAAGCAGGGGAUCUUCGGACCUUGCGCUAUCGGAUGAGCCUAUGUCGGAUUAGCUAGUUGGUGAGGUAACGGCUCACCAAGGCUGCGAUCCGUAGCUGGUCUGAGAGGAUGAUCAGCCACAUCGGGACUGAGACACGGCCCGAACUCCUACGGGAGGCAGCAGUGGGGAAUAUUGGACAAUGGGCGAAAGCCUGAUCCAGCCAUGCCGCGUGUGUGAAGAAGGCCUUCGGGUUGUAAAGCACUUUCAGUGAGGAAGAAAGCCUUGAGGUUAAUACCCUCGAGGGAGGACAUCACUCACAGAAGAAGCACCGGCUAACUCCGUGCCAGCAGCCGCGGUAAUACGGAGGGUGCGAGCGUUAAUCGGAAUUACUGGGCGUAAAGCGCGCGUAGGCGGCUUGAUAAGCCGGUUGUGAAAGCCCCGGGCUCAACCUGGGAACGGCAUCCGGAACUGUCAGGCUAGAGUGCAGGAGAGGAAGGUAGAAUUCCCGGUGUAGCGGUGAAAUGCGUAGAGAUCGGGAGGAAUACCAGUGGCGAAGGCGGCCUUCUGGACUGACACUGACGCUGAGGUGCGAAAGCGUGGGUAGCAAACAGGAUUAGAUACCCUGGUAGUCCACGCCGUAAACGAUGUCGACUAGCCGUUGGGCUCCUUGAGAGCUUUGU
rnacentral:rRNA from 1 species